GGAGAGGUGGCCGAGUGGCUGAAGGCAACGGUUUGCUAAACCGUCAUAGUGGUAAAACGCUAUCGCGAGUUCGAAUCUCGCCCUCUCCG
rnacentral:tRNA from 5 species